rnacentral:rRNA from 1 species
UACGUAGGGUGCGAGCGUUGUCCGGAAUUAUUGGGCGUAAAGAGCUUGUAGGCGGUUUGUCGCGUCUGCUGUGAAAAUCCGGGGCUCAACCCCGGACUUGCAGUGGGUACGGGCAGACUAGAGUGUGGUAGGGGAGACUGGAAUUCCUGGUGUAGCGGUGGAAUGCGCAGAUAUCAGGAGGAACACCGAUGGCGAAGGCAGGUCUCUGGGCCGAUACUGACGCUGAGGAGCGAAAGCGUGGGGAGCAAAAGGG